rnacentral:rRNA from 1 species
GCAAGUCGAACGGAAACGAAGCUAGCUUGCUAGCAGGCGUCGAGUGGCGGACGGGUGAGUAAUGUAUAGGAACUUGCCUAGUAGUGGGGGACAACGCGCGGAAACGCACGCUAAUACCGCAUACGCUCUACGGAGGAAAGCGGGGGCUCUUCGGACCUCGUGCUACUAGAUAGGCCUAUAUUGGAUUAGCUAGUUGGUAAGGUAAAGGCUUACCAAGGCGACGAUCCAUAGCUGGUUUGAGAGAAUGAUC